rnacentral:rRNA from 1 species
UACGUAGGGUGCAAGCGUUAAUCGGAAUUACUGGGCGUAAAGCGUGCGCAGGCGGUCCGUUAAGACAGAUGUGAAAUCCCCGGGCUUAACCUGGGAACUGCAUUUGUGACUGCAUUGCUGGAGUGCGGCAGAGGGGGAUGGAAUUCCGCGUGUAGCAGUGAAAUGCGUAGAUAUGCGGAGGAACACCGAUGGCGAAGGCAAUCCCCUGGGCCUGCACUGACGCUCAUGCACGAAAGCGUGGGAGCAA